rnacentral:rRNA from 1 species
UACGGAGGGUGCAAGCGUUAAUCGGAAUUACUGGGCGUAGAGCGCACGCAGGUGGCUGAGUCAGUCGAUUGUGAAAGCCCUGGGCUUAACCUGGGAAUUGCAGUCGAUACUACUCAGCUAGAGUAUGGGAGAGGGUAGUGGAAUUCCCGGUGUAGCGGUGAAAUGCGUAGAUAUCGGGAGGAACAUCAGUGGCGAAGGCGGCUACCUGGCCCAAUACUGACACUCACGUGCGACAGCGUGGGGAGCAAACAGG